rnacentral:rRNA from 1 species
CUCGCCUGCAUGAAGUUGGAAUUGCUAGUAAUCGCGAAUCAGAAUGUCGCGGUGAAUACGUUCCCGGGCCUUGUACACACCGCCCGUCACACCAUGAGAGUCGAUAACACCCGAAGCCUGUGAGCUAACCGUAAGGAGGCAGCAGUCGAAGGUGGGGUUGAUGAUUGGGGUGAAGUCGUAACAAGGUAGC